UACGGAGGGGGCUAGCGUUGUUCGGAAUUACUGGGCGUAAAGCGCACGUAGGCGGCUUUGUAAGUUAGAGGUGAAAGCCCGGAGCUCAACUCCGGAAUUGCCUUUAAGACUGCAUCGCUAGAAUUGUGGAGAGGUAAGUGGAAUUCCGAGUGUAGAGGUGAAAUUCGUAGAUAUUCGGAAGAACACCAGUGGCGAAGGCGACGUACUGGACACAUAUUGACGCUGAGGUGCGAAAGCGUGGGGAGCAAACAGG
rnacentral:rRNA from 1 species